CCCGGCGACCGGCGCACGGGUGAGUAACACGUAUGCAACCUGGCCGUGACAGAUGGAUAACCGGGAGAAAUCCCGCCUAAUACAACAUAAUGCCGGGAGGGGACAUCCCCUGCCGGUCAAAGGGGGCGACCCCGGUCAUGGAUGGGCAUGCGGCGCAUUAGGUAGUUGGUGGGGCAACGGCCCACCAAGCCGACGAUGCGUAGGGGUUCUGAGAGGAAGGUCCCCCACAUUGGAACUGAGACACGGUCCAAACUCCUACGGGAGGCAGCAG
rnacentral:rRNA from 1 species